rnacentral:rRNA from 1 species
CCUACGGGUGGCAGCAGUGGGGAAUAUUGCACAAUGGGGGGAACCCUGAUGCAGCGACGCCGCGUGAGUGAAGAAGUAUUUCGGUAUGUAAAGCUCUAUCAGCAGGGAAGAAAAUGACGGUUCCUGACUAAGUAACCCCGGCUAAAUACGUGCCAGCAGCCGCGGUAAUACGUAGGGGGCAAGCGUUAUCCGGAUUUUCUGGGUGUAAAGGGGGCGCAGACGGCUGUGCAAGUCUGGAGUGAAAGGCGGGGGCCCAACCCCCGGACUGCUCUUGAAACUGUAAAGCUGGAGUGCAGGAGAGGUAAGCGGAAUUCCUAGUGUAGCGGUGAAAUGCGUAGAUAUUAGGAGGAACACCAGUGGCGAAGGCGGCUUACUGGACUGCAACUGACGUUGAGGCUCGAAAGCGUGGGGAGCAAACAGGAUUAGAUACCCGUGUAGUC